AAGUCGUAACAAGGUUUCCGUAGGUGAACCUGCGGAAGUAUCAUUGGUGAGAUAUUAAGCCUGAGGCUUAGCCGGUCAAAUACCUAGAAGGGGUAGCUUAGCCUACACCCUACAAGGAAAAGUACCGCAAGGGAACCUCCAAAUGUAUCUAGUGUCAUAUCAAACAAUAGAAUAGUACAACCUUUAACAAUUGAUCUCUUGGCUCCU
rnacentral:misc_RNA from 1 species